CAGCGCUAAAUCUCCUCAUUUCUGGUAGGCUCCCAGUACUAGAAUAAUGCGUUCCAAAAAAUUAACGUCCUCUCUGUAAAGUGUAUAUAAUGGUAGUAGCACCAGUGAUAUUAAAUAUAGAAAUAAGUGUCGACAUAUAAACUUAGAUGUCGCAAGUAGUGAAGACAGGAGUCGUAAAAGUUCGUAAAUUCAGAAAGACUGAAACUGAAACCGAAACGUCAUGCGUGCAGCAUUUGGCCGGAGCAGGCGCGUUGCGUGUAACAUCGAUUUGUUGGUGCAUUCAUGUUUAUCAUGCGGUUUUAUAUUAAAUAAACGUGUAAUUCUAAAAACAAAGUAACUAAUUUUAAUUGUCAUCGUAAUUUCGUUAUUAUCUAACGUUUUUAUGUUAUUCUUUGUUUAGUGUAUGUGUGUGCCUCCAGUUUGUGCCGUGCCAACCCUCCAUCGUCUGUUGUUGUGUUUUUAAGGGGUGCCAACAAUAUCUAUUUUACAAUACAAAUUGCUGAACGUAACCCUACGGAUGAUAUGGAGUGUUACGCUUAAGGUUGUCGACGCUGCCACCGCAGUGGAGGGGAAGUCAGCUGGUACUGGCGUCGCGACGUUGCGAUACACUAGUCGACGUUUGGCAUCCCAACGCAACGUGACGCUUGUCUAAAAUCAUGAGGUUGCUGUGAGAAUUUUAAGUGUUUUUUGGAUCUGUGAUGAAAACUGUUACGAAAUAGUUUUUUAAUCGAACUUUUGAGUGCAGUGCUUUUUGACAUGAUUAUGUGGUAGCAGUGAUUGAACAUGAAGGGCUUUUUCGUUAUCACCGCGUGGGCCCUUUCCGCGUGUUUUGCAGCCUGGCAGGACAAUGUCAGGCCUAAGAUGUACGUCCAAUUA